CGGGAAGUAGCUCAGCACUUGGUUUGGGACCAAGGGGUCGCAGGUUCGAAUCCUGUCUUCCCGA
rnacentral:tRNA from 1 species